rnacentral:rRNA from 1 species
GAUUGGUUACCUUGUUACGACUUCACCCCAGUCAUGAAUCACACCGUGGUAAUCGUCCCCCCUAAGGUUAGACUAACUACUUCUGGUGCAACCCACUCCCAUGGUGUGACGGGCGGUGUGUACAAGGCCCGGGAACGUAUUCACCGCAACAUUCUGAUUUGCGAUUACUAGCGAUUCCGACUUCACGCAGUCGAGUUGCAGACUGCGAUCCGGACUACGACCGGCUUUAUGGGAUUGGCUCCCCCUCGCGGGUUGGCUGCCCUUUGUACCGGCCAUUGUAUGACGUGUGUAGCCCCACCUAUAAGGGCCAUGAGGACUUGACGUCAUCCCCACCUUCCUCCGGUUUGUCACCGGCAGUCUCAUUAGAGUGCCCUUUCGUAGCAACUAAUGACAAGGGUUGCGCUCGUUGCGGGACUUAACCCAACAUCUCACGACACGAGCUGACGGCAGCCAUGCAGCACCUGUGUGCAGGUUCUCUUUCGAGCACUCCUCUAUCUCUAAAGGAUUCCUGCCAUGUCAAA